rnacentral:sRNA from 1 species
AUGACAGCCCUUUAGAGAGAAGUUCUCUAUUAAUGUACAGAGCAGGUUCAGCAGGGGCAACUGCAGUGCAAGCUUCCCCAUAACACUGAACUGGGAGGGCUUUAGAAGCAAGAAUGUACUUCACCCUUUAUGCUCAUUCAAUCCUUCAACUCU